GCCUGCAGACCCAGAUCCUUCUCUAGCGCCGCGUCUGCCUCUGUGCUGACAUGCUUUCUACCAUGAUGGUCAUGGACUAAAUCUCUGAACUGAUGUUGUGGCUUGUACCCUGCUGUGCUCUCCUCCUCGUUAUGGACCCACACCUCCGAGCUGGUGAUCCAAAGGAAGGAAUUCCUCCUUUAAACUGUUACGGAUCACACAUUUGUCACAGUGCCAAUAAAAGUGAAAGCUUUGAACAUAA